rnacentral:rRNA from 1 species
AGUGCGAAUCUCGAAAGCCUGUCUCAGUUCGGAUUGGAGGCUGAAACCCGCCUCCAUGAAGCUGGAUUCGCUAGUAAUCGCGCAUCAGCCAUGGCGCGGUGAAUACGUUCCCGGGCCUUGUACACACCGCCCGUCAAGCCAUGGAAGCUGGGGGUGCCUGAAGUUCGUGACCGGAAGGAGCGACCUAGGGCAAAACCGGUGACUGGGGCUAAGUCGUAACAAGGUACC